rnacentral:rRNA from 1 species
CGGUAAUUCCAGCUCCAAUAGCGUAUACUAAAGUUGUUGCAGUUAAAAAGCUCGUAGUUGGAUUUCUGCGGGGACGGAGCGGCCGGACGCAACUUGCGUCUCGAGCUAGCGCUUUCCCCGCAUCCUGCCGCGAACCGUGCUACCAUUAGCUUGGUGGCGCUGGGGAUCGGCUCGAUUACUUUGAGAAAAAUAGAGUGUUCAAAGCAGGCCACACGCCUUGAAUAAGUUAGCAUGGAAUAAUGACUAAGGACUUUGGUUCUUUUCGUUGGUGUUCGGGACUGAAGUAAUGAUUGAUAGGGACAGUUGGGGCGGUCUGUAUUCCAAAGCGAGAGGUGAAAUUCUUAGACCUUCGGAAGACAAACAGCUGCGAAAGCGUUCCGCAAGGAUGUUCCCUUUGAUCAAGAACGAAAGUUGGGGGAUCGAAGACGAUCAGAUACCGUCGUAGUCUCAACUAUAAACUAUACCAGCUAGGGAUCGGCCAACGUUUAAUUAUUCGACUUGGUCGGCACCUUAUGAGAAAUCAAAGCAUCUGGGUUCCGGGGGGAGUAUGGUCGCAAGGCUGAAACUUAAAGGAAUUGACGGAAGGGCACCACCAGGCGUGGAGCCUGUGGCUUAAUUUGACUCAACACGGGAAAACUUACCAGGUCCAGACAUAGGAAGGAUUGACAGAUUGAUAGCUCUUUCUUGAUUCUGUGGGUGGUGGUGCAUGGCCGUUUUUAGUCGGUGAAGUGAUUUGUCUGCUUAAUUGCGUUAACGGACGAGACCCCAGCCUGCUAAAUAGCGCGGCCGAGCUUUGCUCGGUGCGAGCUUCUUAGAGGGACCAUGAUGCGCGAUAGCACAAGGAAGUUUGGGGCAACAACAGGUCUGUGAUGCCCUUAGAUGUUCUGGGCCGCACACGGGCUACACUGGCGCCUGCAACGAGCAUAUCAGCUGGCCCGAGAGGGUCUUGGCUAAUCUUUGGAACCGGCGCCGUGCUUGGGAUUGACCAUUGCAAUUGUUGGUCAUGCAACGAGGAAUGCCUUGUAAACGCGAGUCAUCAGCUCGCAUUGAAUACGUCCCUGCCCUUUGUACACACCGCCCGUCGUUCCUACCGAUGAAUGUUCCGAUGAAAUUUUCGGAGAGCGCCGGAGAACGGGGCUCUGCCCUGCAGAACUGGAGGCUCAAAGUCACUUAAAUCUGAACAUUUCGAGGAAGGAGAAGUCGUAACAAGGUAACC